UCGAGCGAGUCUGCCUUGAAGAUCGGAGUGCUUGCACUCUGUGAAACAAGAUACAGGCUAGCGGCGGACGGGUGAGUAACACGUGGGUAACCUGCCCAAGAGAUCGGGAUAACACCUGGAAACAGAUGCUAGUACCGGAUAACAACAGAUGAUGCCUAUCAACUGUUUAAAAGAUGGUUCUGCUAUCACUCUUGGAUGGACCUGCGGUGCAUUAGCUAGUUGGUAGGGUAACGGCCUACCAAGGCGAUGAUGCAUAGCCGAGUUGAGAGACUGAUCGGCCACAUUGGGACUGAGACACGGCCCAAACUCCUACGGGAGGCAGCAGUAGGGAAUCUUCCACAAUGGACGCAAGUCUGAUGGAGCAACGCCGCGUGAGUGAAGAAGGGUUUCGGCUCGUAAAGCUCUGUUGUUGGUGAAGAAGGACAGGGGUAGUAACUGACCUUUGUUUGACGGUAAUCAAUUAGAAAGUCACGGCUAACUACGUGCCAGCAGCCGCGGUAAUACGUAGGUGGCAAGCGUUGUCCGGAUUUAUUGGGCGUAAAGCGAGUGCAGGCGGCUCGAUAAGUCUGAUGUGAAAGCCUUCGGCUCAACCGGAGAAUUGCAUCAGAAACUGUCGAGCUUGAGUACAGAAGAGGAGAGUGGAACUCCAUGUGUAGCGGUGAAAUGCGUAGAUAUAUGGAAGAACACCGGUGGCGAAGGCGGCUCUCUGGUCUGUUACUGACGCUGAGGCUCGAAAGCAUGGGUAGCGAACAGGAUUAGAUACCCUGGUAGUCCAUGCCGUANACGAUGAGUGCUAAGUGUUGGGAGGUUUCCGCCUCUCAGUGCUGCAGCUAACGCAUUAAG
rnacentral:rRNA from 1 species